CCGGAAGGGGGGAUGCUUCCUGCAGUCGACGGCAGCACGGGUGCUUGCACCUGGUGGCGAGUGGCGAACGGGUGAGUAAUAUAUCGGAACGUACCUUGUAGUGGGGGAUAGCUCGGCGAAAGCCGGAUUAAUACCGCAUACGCUCUGAGGAGGAAAGCGGGGGACCUUCGGGCCUCGCGCUACAAGAGCGGCCGAUAUCAGAUUAGCUAGUUGGUGGGGUAAAAGCUUACCAAGGCGACGAUCUGUAGGUGGUCUGAAAGGACGACCAACCACACUGGGACUGAGACGCGGCCCAUACUCCUACGGGAGGCAGCAGUGGGGAAUUUUGGACCAUGGGCGAAAGCCUGAUCCAGCAAUGCCGCGUGUGUGAAGAAGGCCUUCGGGUUGUAAAGCCCUUUUGUACGGAAAGAAAUCCUCUGGGUUAAUACCUCCGGGGGAUGACGGUACCGGAAGAAUAAGCACCGGCUAACUACGUGCCAGCAGCCGCGGUAAUACGUAUGGUGCGAGGGGUAAUCGGAAUUACUGGGCGUAAAGCGUGCGCAGGCGGUUUUGUAAGACAGAUGUGAAAUCCCCGGGCUCAACCUGGGAACUGCAUUCGUGACUGCAAAGAUAUAGUAUGGCACAGGGGGGUAGAAUUCCACGCGUAGCAGUGAAAUGCGCAGAGAUGUGGAAGAAUACCGAUGGCGAAGGCAGCCCCCUGCGCCGAUACUGACCCUCAUGCACGAAAGCGUGUAGAUCAAACAGGAUUAGAUACCCUGGUAGUCCACGCCCUAAACGAUGUCAACUAGCUGUUGAGGAUUCAUUUCCUUAGUAACGUAGCUACGCGUGAAGUUGACCGCCUGGGGAGUACAGUCUCAGAUUAAUACUCAAGGAAUUGACGGGACCGCACAGCGGCGUAUGAUGCGGAUAAUCGAUGCACGCUAUAACCUUACCUACCUUGACAUGUACGAGUCGCUGAAAGUGAUGUGUCGAAGAAGACGUACACAGUGCUGCAUGCUGU
rnacentral:rRNA from 1 species